rnacentral:rRNA from 1 species
GCUCAUAAAUAGGAUUUUAGUCCUGCUUAAAGCUUAAUUUAUACAAAAAAAUUUUCAUCUUUAAAGUUAUUCAAAUAAGGUACAGCCUAUUUGAAAAAGGAGACAACCUCAACUAUUGGGUAUUAUUUUCUAGUCCGUGGUAAAGUAGGCUUAAAAGCAGCCACCUUAAACAAUAGCGUCAAAGCUUAACCAUCUUCUUUUAAAAAUUCCUCAACUUCCCCUCAACCCAUUUUUAUUAAAGAGCAAUUCUAUAUAUUUAUAGAAGAUUUAAUGUUAAAACUAGUAAUAAGAAGCAGACCCUUCUCUUUAAUGUAAACUUAUAUCAGCAAGGACAUCCCACUGAUAUUUAACGUCCCUAAAAUUAUAGUAAAAACUUAUCAAGAAAACAUUACUCUUAUUUACGUUAACCUUACACAAGAACAUUUUAAGAAAGAUUUAAAGGAAAAGAAGGAACUCGGCAAAUAUUAGCCCCGCCUGUUUACCAAAAACAUCGCCUCUUGACUAUUAAUAAGAGGUCCAGCCUGCCCAGUGACUCUGUUCAACGGCCGCGGUAUCCUAACCGUGCGAAGGUAGCGUAAUCACUUGUUCUUUAAAUGAGGACUAGUAUGAAUGGCCCCACGAAGGCUACACUGUCUCCUUUUCCUAAUCAAUGAAACUAAUCUUCCCGUGAAGAAGCGGGAAUAAUAAUAUAAGACGAGAAGACCCUAUGGAGCUUUAAACUAUAGAAACACUUGCUUUAUACCUUUAACCCUCCCGAGGUUUUCCAAAUAUUUAAGCAAUAUUUAUUUCUAGUUUUAGGUUGGGGUGACCACGGAGUAAAAUUUAACCUCCAUGAUGAAAGAGACCCUCUCUUAGCUAAAAGCUACCUCUUUAAGCACCAACAAAUUGACUCUCAUUGACCCAAUUAAUUGAUCAACGAACCAAGUUACCCUAGGGAUAACAGCGCAAUCUACCUCGAGAGCUCAUAUCGACAGGUGGGUUUACGACCUCGAUGUUGGAUCAGGGUAUCCUAGUGGUGCAGCCGCUACUGAUGGUUCGUUUGUUCAACGAUUAAAACCCUACGUGAUCUGAGUUCAGACCGGAGCAAUCCAGGUCAGUUUCUAUCUAUAAAGAGUAUUUUCCAGUACGAAAGGACCGAAAAAACAUGGCCUAUACAUUAUGCAAGCCAUAUAUUCAAACCUUAUGUUUUUAACUUAAUAAUUAAUGAAACUUCAAUUACCUUUCUAGAAAUAGAAAUUUUA